AAUGGGGGAUAACGUAGCGAAAGUUACGCUAAUACCGCAUAUGCCCUGAGGGGGAAAGGUGGGGAUCGCAAGACCUAUCGUUUUCGGAGUGGCCGAUAUCAGAUUAGCUAGUUGGUGAGGUAAAGGCUCACCAAGGCGACGAUCUGUAGCUGGUCUGAGAGGACGACCAGCCACACUGGGACUGAGACACGGCCCAGACUCCUACGGGAGGCAGCAGUGGGGAAUUUUGGACAAUGGGGGCAACCCUGAUCCAGCCAUGCCGCGUGAGUGAAGAAGGCCUUCGGGUUGUAAAGCUCUUUCAGACGGAAAGAAAUCGCUAUUCCUAAUAUGAGUGGUGGAUGACGGUACCGUCAGAAGAAGCACCGGCUAACUACGUGCCAGCAGCCGCGGUAAUACGUAGGGUGCGAGCGUUAAUCGGAAUUACUGGGCGUAAAGCGUGCGCAGGCGGUUUUGUAAGACAGACGUGAAAUCCCCGGGCUUAACCUGGGAACUGCGUUUGUGACUGCAAGGCUAGAGUACGGCAGAGGGGGGUAGAAUUCCA
rnacentral:rRNA from 1 species